UCCUCGGUGGCGCAAUUGGCUAGCGCGUCGUAAGUUGUUCUCAAACAAUUAUAUAAUCUACUUACCCAGUAUCUAACAAUCAAUUCCAGUGACUGUUAAUCAGGAGGUUGAAAGUUCGAGCCUUUCCCGGGGAG
rnacentral:tRNA from 1 species